rnacentral:rRNA from 1 species
AACGAACGCUGGCGGCAUGCCUAACACAUGCAAGUCGAACGAUGCCUUCGGGCAUAGUGGCGCACGGGUGCGUAACGCGUGGGAAUCUGCCUUUCGGUUCGGAAUAACUCAGGGAAACUUGAGCUAAUACCGGAUAACGUCGCAAGACCAAAGAUUUAUCACCGAAAGAUGAGCCCGCGUAGGAUUAGCUAGUUGGUGAGGUAAAGGCUCACCAACGCGACGAUCCUUAGCCGGUCUGAGAGGAUGAUCAGCCACACUGGGACUGAGACACGGCCCAGACUCCUACGGGAGGCAGCAGUGGGGAAUAUUGGACAAUGGGCGAAAGCCUGAUCCAGCAAUGCCGCGUGAGUGAUGAAGGCCUUAGGGUUGUAAAGCUCUUUUACCCGGGAAGAUAAUGACGGUACCGGGAGAAUAAGCCCCGGCUAACUCCGUG